AUCUGAGGAAAUAGACAAGUUUAGUGGGAAGCUGAGGAAACUUCUUCCUUGCAGCUGGCCUCCAAGGGGCUGCAAGGUCCCUGGCGAGUCUUGUCCUGAAGGGCUGGGCGGCGGAGGGAGGCCUCUCUAUCGCCCUUCUUCUGGCCCUUCCUUUUUUUCCUUCCCUCCCUCCCUCCCUCUCUUGAACCCAGGACCAGCAUCUCCCAGCCUGACCUGGAUGGAUGGCUCCCUUUUCCCUCCGGGAUCAGGGUUCGCUUGAGCAGAGAAGCCCAGUGCUUGGGCGAGUCACACUCUCUCAGCCUCAAAGGAAAACAAAACGCCCUCUGAAGAAACCUGGGCAAAGAAACUCCAGGAUCGGGUCGCCUUUACUUCACAACCAGGGAUGGCGAGCGCUUCAGACUGUUAACUUUUUUGGGGGUGUGUGUGUGUUACACACAAGAGUUUCUUUUCCCCCCUCCUUUUCUUGGUGGCCUUUUGGACGUCGCCUCUCCUGUCUGGAUAUAUAGAUGAUGUCUCUGUGUGUAUGAUCCCUGCUGGGACCCUUUCUUCUUGCCUGCCUUCAGGGAUGCACUCAAGGAUCAUGUGGCAAAUGAAAGGUGUCACUGGUGUACAGAAGAAGCUGUCCGAAAGACUGAGAUGCCAAAGUCCCAACUGUUCGUACUGAAAGGACUUUGCCUGGUGGAAAAGCCUCCUUUGAAAUGUCGGGAAAUGUUUUGCUCAUGACCAUUUGUAAGAUUUCAAACAGAUUCUACAAUCAACAGAAAUGGAGCUUGGGAUCUUCUGCUACCCUCGCACGGAUAUCUCAAAGUAUCUCAUCAUAUCUCUGUUCACAAGGAAGCAGUUAAUUUGGGUUUCUGCCACUUCACUUCAAGGUUUUCACACACUCCCUUCUUGGCAGGUGUGACUUGAUAUUCAUCUCCACUGUAGACCCGAAAAUCACUUCCAAUAAGAUGACAAGAAUUUGGCUCAAAUAGGAGUGUGUUUUUCCUUCUUUUCAUGAAGGUUUCAAGUUUAUCUGUGUAGACUAGAAGCAACAGUGAAUUUGGAAAACAUCACACAAUCUUUAAAUUUCUGUGAGUGGUUUUAUGUUCCCUGUUUCAUUCCUGGUAUAAUGAUUAAGCAAAAGGUCUUGAUGCCCAAGAAAAAGAAAGUUUGGACAAGAAAAAUACAGUGCUUGGACAACAACUAAUAUCAAUAACUGGAGAAAUUAUGGUUAGUCCAUCAAUGACUUUAUGAUAUGGUAAAAUUGUACCUUAGGAGACAAAAUUGUCAUUCUUCCAUCAAAAUGAAAUCAUGAUGUAACACAUACCUUUACUAAAGUAUCAACCUGUAUGAACACCAUCGUCAAUAAGUAUGAGGAUACAUUUGGAUAAGAUAAAGGGAACGAGUACAUUAGAACCUAUGACAAAUUACUUGUGCAAUAAAUGAGCUGAGAGUUCCUGGUCCAGAAAUUUCCAAAGUCUGAUUCUAGAUAGCCCCCUGGCAAAGUGUAUACACAGGUAGAAAUACAUUGGGGUUUAAAAAAAAAAACCUAAUAAAACAACUGUCUUUUUGAUA